rnacentral:lncRNA from 1 species
AUUAUAAUUUAUAAGAGAUACAUGGCAAGGAAGAGAUAAUUUUAUUUAUUUGUUUUGGGAGUCAAGUUCUUAUCUAUUUGUUUGUAUGUUUUAAGCAUAUCUUUCCUCAGUUCUGAGCCAGUGCUUGACUGUCCAAUUUGCUAACCAGUUAAAAUAUAGUUUAUGAUCUGUUGCUAAAUGUUUAGAUGUGGAGAAACUGUUUCUUUAUAGUAUAUCCUAUCUCAAAGUGUACAUUCUGGAAAUAUUAUCUGAAUCUCUCAAACAAAUAAUCUGGAGUGGUGAAUAUUCAAAAAUAGAAUUUAAAAAUCAAACAUCUAUGUUAUGGAAUGCUAUAUAAUGCAAAUUUCAGUUAGUUAAAUGGAAACAAUUUAAAUAUUUAAAUAAUGCCAAUAUUUAAAUGUUUACUAAUGUCAUAUGAUUGUAAGUCUCAAAUAAGACUAGAUAUACCUUAUAAUUAAAAAAUCUGUGAUUCCAUGAGAAAAAAGCAGCUACUUUCUUGUGUUAAUAUAACAGAAAUUCUAUUGUCUCUCCACAUUACAAAAUGAUAAUUAGAUUAUAAUUAAAAAUGAAUUGCUCUAUUACAUCAUAAUUGUCAGGAUUUUCUUAACCCACAUGCAUGGAAUUUUGUUCAUAUUAUACCUGUAUUUACUGGCCUUUUGCAGUGUAAUUUUAUGUAAUUGGAACCAGUACUGUAAGGAAACAGUUACUUAGUAGAUUGUCAACUUUAAUGUCUAAGAUUAUUUCAUUUCCUUGAUUUCAUUUUCCUUAAUUUGAUUUUCUUUCAUGUUCAAACAUGGAAUGUUGCAUGAAACACUUACUAGAGUCCAAACUGAGGCCAGAUGAAAUUCAUCAGAUAAAGCAAUAUUACACACCAGAGGAGGUGAAUGCUUCACAAGGGAGGUCCUGUCAGAAACCAAAGACACAAAGCACCUGUAUCCAAGUUCCUUCAUGCUACUUCCUGGUUGAACAAGUCACAACUCAGCAUUGUUACAACUGACUUUGUCUUCUCAAUUGUGGACUAACACUUGGGCAUAUUUUGACCUUACUCUCCUGAGGAAAACUCAUCAGUUCAUUUUCUCAUUCUCACAAAGUAUUUUAAAAUGAUCCAUUUUCAUAAAAUGAUUUGAUACAUUUUAUGAAAAAGAGUUUGUAAUAAUUUGUAUUAACCUUUUUCCAGAAGUGCUUUUAGUAAGUGACUUUUGUGGACAUUGCAAGCCCUGACUACUUAAGCUAGUAAUAUAAAUGUGGCUAGCUUAUAGUUGUGGGUAAGUGUGAUACAGUUAAAUGAAAGACUACUUGUCUUUUAAGGAUGAUUAAAGCUAUGUCUGCCUAAAUUGUUGUUUAUUUUACCCACUGCUUCAAAAUGGAACUCUAACUUAACUGUACAGUUUUGUUUUUAUGAAGGAAUAAAGAAUUCCUUAUUAAACA